rnacentral:rRNA from 1 species
CGAACGCUGGCGGCGUGGAUUAGGCAUGCAAGUCGAACGGGAACGGAAUCUUCGGAUUCCUAGUAUAGUGGCGGACGGGUGAGUAACGCGUGGGAAACCUGCCUCUGAGAUGGGAAUAACACUCCUAACGGAGUGCUAAUACCGAAUGACAUCGUUGAUUCGCAUGUGUCGACGAUCAAAGGUGGCCUCUGUUUACAAGCUACUGCUCAGAGAUGGUCCCGCGUCCCAUUAGCUUGUUGGUAGGGUAACGGCCUACCAAGGCGACGAUGGGUAGCUGGUCUGAGAGGACGGCCAGCCACACUGGGACUGAGAUACGGCCCAGACUCCUACGGGAGGCAGCAGUCGAGAGGCUUUGGCAAUGGGGGAAACCCUGACCAAGCGACGCCGCGUGGGCGAUGACGGCCUUCGGGUUGUAAAGCCCUGUCAUGCGGGAAGAAAGGGCCUUGUGAUAACACCAUAAGGUUUUGACGGUACCGCAAGAGGAAGCUCCGGCUAACUCC